GACGAACGCUGGCGGCGUGCCUAACACAUGCAAGUCGAACGAUGCCGUCUAGUUUGCUGGGUGGAUUAGUGGUGACCGGGUGAGUCCUACGUGAGUGAUCUACCUUUCUCUCCGGGAUAAGCCUGGGUAACUGGGUCUAAUACCGGAUCCGACCUUUCUCCGCUUGGGGUGUUGGUGGAUUGCGUUAUGGAGUGGGUUUAGUUGGGCUCACGGCCUGUCAGCUUGGAGGUGUGGUAAUGGCUUACCAUGGCGACGACGGGUAGCCGGCCUGAGAGGGUGAGCGGCCACACUAGGACUGAGACACGGCCCGGACUCCUACGGGACGCGGCGGUGGAGAAGAGUACACAAGAGACGGAGGGCUGAUGCAGCGACGCCGCGUGAGGGAUGACGGCCAGCGGGUUGUAUACCACAGUUAGCAUCGAAGAAACGAAAGUGACGGUAGGGGCAGAGAAAGCGCCGGCUAACUACGUG
rnacentral:rRNA from 1 species